CAGUCGCCGCGGUAAAACGUAGGUGGCAAGCGUUGUCCGGAAUUAUUGGGCGUAAAGGGCUCGCAGGCGGUUUCUUAAGUCUGAUGUGAAAGCCCCCGGCUCAACCGGGGAGGGUCAUUGGAAACUGGGAAACUUGAGUGCGGAAGAGGAGAGUGGAAUUCCACGUGUAGCGGUGAAAUGCGUAGAGAUGUGGAGGAACACCAGUGGCGAAGGCGACUCUCUGGUCUGUAACUGACGCUGAGGAGCGAAAGCGUGGGGAGCGAACAGGAUUAGAUACCCCCGUAGUCCCUGUCUCUUAUAC
rnacentral:rRNA from 1 species